rnacentral:rRNA from 1 species
AGUGAACGCUGGCGGUAGGCCUAACACAUGCCAGUCGAACGGCAGCACAGUAAGAGCUUGCUCUUACGGGUGGCGAGUGGCGGACGGGUGAGGAAUACAUCGGAAUCUACUUUUUCGUGGGGGAUAACGUAGGGAAACUUACGCUAAUACCGCAUACGACCUACGGGUGAAAGCAGGGGAUCUUCGGACCUUGCGCGAUUGAAUGAGCCGAUGUCGGAUUAGCUAGUUGGCGGGGUAAAGGCCCACCUAGGCGACGAUCCGUAGCUGGUCUGAGAGGAUGAUCAGCCACACUGGAACUGAGACACGGUCCAGACUCCUACGGGAGGCAGCAGUGGGGAAUAUUGGACAAUGGGCGCAAGCCUGAUCCAGCCAUACCGCGUGGGUGAAGAAGGCCUUCGGGUUGUAAAGCCCUUUUGUUGGGAAAGAAAAGCAGCAGGUUAAUACCCCGCUGUUCUGACGGUACCCAAAGAAUAAGCACCGGCUAACUUCGUG